UUUACAGCUGUUACAACUCUAACUUGUAAUAUCAACAAAUGGCUCUGAAUCAAGAGCCACUGAAAAAUGAAAAUGCAUGAAGAACAAGAUAAAAGGAAGAAAAGAGUCAACAAUCUUUGAAAAACUGAAUAAAUUGAUACAUUUCUGGACUCAACAGAUGGAAAUGCCGCAUUCCUCCGAGCCCUCGUCGGCGAGCAUCUAAAUAACUCUGCCUACAGCCUGAGCUGCGGGGAGGUGAUUUCUACCACCAAAACCAGGCGGCCCCGGACCAGCCGCAGCCCGCCUU
rnacentral:lncRNA from 1 species